rnacentral:rRNA from 1 species
CCUGACUGCUAUCGGAUUGAUACUAAGCCAUGCGAGUCAUUGUAGCAAUACAAGGCAUACGGCUCAGUAACGCGUAGUCAACCUAACCUAUGGACGGGAAUAACCUCGGGAAACUGAGAAUAAUGCCCGAUAGAACACUAUACCUGGAAUGGUUUGUGUUCCAAAUGAUUUAUCGCCAUAGGAUGGGACUGCGGCCUAUCAGUUUGUUGGUGAGGUAAUGGCCCACCAAGACUAUUACAGGUACGGGCUCUGAGAGGAGUAGCCCGGAGAUGGGUACUGAGACACGGACCCAGGCCCUAUGGGGCGCAGCAGGCGAGAAAACUUUGCAAUGUGCGAAAGCACGACAAGGUUAAUCCGAGUGAUUUGUGCUAAACGAAUCUUUUGUUAGUCCUAGAAACACUAACGAAUAAGGGGUGGGCAAGUUCUGGUGUCAGCCGCCGCGGUAAAACCAGCACCUCAAGUGGUCAGGAUGAUUAUUGGGCCUAAAGCAUCCGUAGCCGGCUCUGUAAGUUUUCGGUUAAAUCUGUACGCUUAACGUACAGGCUGCCGGGAAUACUGCAGAGCUAGGGAGUGGGAGAGGUAGACGGUGCUCGGUAGGAAGUGGUAAAAUGCUUUGAUCUAUCGAUGACCACCUGUGGCGAAGGCGGUCUACCAGAACACGUCCGACGGUGAGGGAUGAAAGCUGGGGGAGCAAACCGGAUUAGAUACCCGGGUAGUCCCAGCUGUAAACUAUGCAAACUCAGUGAUGCAUUGGCUUGUGGCCAAUGCAGUGCUGCAGGGAAGCCGUUAAGUUUGCCGCCUGGAAGUACGUACGCAAGUAUGAAACUUAAAGGAAUUGGCGGGGGAGCACCACAAGGGGUGAAGCCUGCGGUUC